rnacentral:rRNA from 1 species
CCUACGGGAGGCAGCAGUGGGGAAUAUUGGACAAUGGGGGGAACCCUGAUCCAGCCAUGCCGCGUGUGUGAAGAAGGCCCUCGGGUUGUAAAGCACUUUCAGUGAGGAAGAACGCCUGGUGGUUAAUACCCAUCAGGAAAGACAUCACUCACAGAAGAAGCACCGGCUAACUCCGUGCCAGCAGCCGCGGUAAUACGGAGGGUGCGAGCGUUAAUCGGACUUACUGGGCGUAAAGCGCGCGUAGGUGGCUUGAUAAGCCGGUUGUGAAAGCCCCGGGCUCAACCUGGGAACGGCAUCCGGAACUGUCAAGCUAGAGUGCAGGAGAGGAAGGUAGAAUUCCCGGUGUAGCGGUGAAAUGCGUAGAGAUCGGGAGGAAUACCAGUGGCGAAGGCGGCCUUCUGGACUGACACUGACACUGAGGUGCGAAAGCGUGGGUAGCAAACAGGAUUAGAUACCCGAGUAGUC